ensembl:lncRNA
CACAGGGCCACCCCUAGAACAGGAGGAGAGUUCCUUGUUCCUUUAUCUGUUGCACCAAGAUAGUCUCUUCAUCCCCCUGAAGGCUCAGGAUACCUCUUCCUGUUUCUCUCUCGGGUUCUCAGGAACUGGCAGUUACCAGAUUUUGUCAGUUAAUUUACUUAAUUUAUUCUUUAUGCUUCGCUGAGCCCUGGCAGGUUGGGAAGUAAGCGGUCGGUUCUUCUAGAAUUGAGCCUGCUGACGUUGUGAAAUAGCCUAGGGCAGCCCUGGUACUGGCUACUAGGAAGAGGCACCUGGAGUUCUCUCCCUCUGAGGUCGGGACAACCUCCAGCAGACCUGUCUCCCCCUUUCCUUCAAACAGGAAGAUGAAGCUGGAGAUGAGGCUCGGUAUGAAAAUGAAUACCCUGAGAAAGCAUAGCAGGAUUGUGCUUGGAUGGACCAUGUGUAUGCUUGAUUCCUAUGGAAGACAUAAUUUGCAACAGAAGACUUGGAAUCGUAGUAUCCUGCUUACAAAAUUAUUGAAGAAAAAAGAAGACUUCUAAUUAAUUCCAAAAGCUAAACUACUCUCCAGAUAGGUACCAUUUCAAGCAGUUGACCCAGUGUGAUUCUCAGCCCUGGGGACAUAACAGCCUCACCUGUGUGGAACAUUAACCCCUCCCACCCUCAUCCCUAUCCACCUCCACCACUCCCAGUCCCAGAGUUUCUAGUAUGCCUUGAGUGGGGGCCUUGGGAUGGAUGGAUGGAUAGAUGGAUAGAUAGACAGACAGACAGAUAGAUAGACUUCUUUUUAACACAGGUGAGUUUGAGGCUCAACCAUGGUUGAGAACCACUGAGUUAAACAAUGUGAUCUUUUAAAGGCAAUUUCCUUUAAUGACAAAUAAUAGAUAAACCUAAGGAUAGGAAGAGAUGGAGAUGCUCAAAGAAAUAAAGUCAAUUAAUGUCAUGGUCGUGAGGAGCUUGCUUCAUGGUUAUAACCAACUGCUCCCUUAUCUCAUGGGCUAAUUUGACUUCACAUAAAGGUGAGUGCUAUAAAACUCUCUAAAAGUCCAUCAUUCUUUUGAAAUCAGAAGCAUGGGAACAAGUUACCUCCAGUUGUUAAAAAAAAAAAAGACCACCGUUUCAUUGGGCUAAAUUGGACCUCACAUACAAAAGUGAUGUGUGUUAGUGAGUCCACAAGGAAGGAGUUGUUAAUGAUCUGGAUUGCAGUUGGCUGGUUCCUGGUAGAUACAGCUUCAGUUGGAGAUGGACCCAAGCUUUAAGAGGGUUCUUGGGCACACACGACAGACACACAAGCUGAUAAUCACCGCUGCCCGUGUGCUGGGUGCUCUCGUAAUGCCCUGCUGUGCUGCACACCUCCACGAGGCAGAUAUUAUCCCCAUUUUAUAGGGAGAAACCAGGUGCAAACGCUUGCCCACAUUCACUCAGCUAGUCAUCAGGGAUUGGAACUCGGUUCUGUAUGGCCCCAAAGCCAUGCUGCAACCCCUACACCACUUGUUCUCAUUGCCCACCCUGCGGAGGGCCCCGUUUUGGAACAGCAGAGACCAUGGAGCUGACAGCUAUGCAGCCACUUCAGAGAAAGGAUGUGUUCAUAAGACACAUUAUAGCAGAAGGCCAAAUAUUCUUGUAAAUAUAGCAGUGAUGACUAAAGAGCUUUGUUACAAUAUAUUAAGCGUGUACAGUAAAGUCUUAACCUCUGUUAAAUCUGGGUGCUUUUAGUUACCUCUGUAUGUUUGAAAAAUCUUUCAUUGUUAAUUAUUCUUGGGCAAAGGGGAAUGGAAGACAGCUGCAAACAUCUGCAUUAUGAAUUAUUCAGGUAGCUUUGCAUAAACUGUAGGGCAGAUAAUUGCUGGAAUGACCUCAAGAAAGAGAUAGGGUAGAGAAAGAAAUGUUUGCUAGUUAACUAGCAAGGAAAGAGAAAUAUGGGAAAUAAUUAAAUCUCCUGGUUCUCUCUGCUCUGCUCCUCAAAGUGUUCUCCUACCGUGCCCCUUCCAGCUUAAUGACCGAGAGCAGUCAGCCAACCGUACGCUCCAGUAGAAGAGAGAUCUCAAGGAGUUUCAGUCUGAUGCCAAUUUCGGGUGUAUUGUUUUCACAAAUUAUAUUAGUGCUCAUGAACUGGAAUUGCUGCACUUUAAACACUCAAAAUUAUGAGACUAGCUGUCCCCAGUGGUCAGUGUUUUUGGAGUGGACCUCACAGGCAAUCCUCUGCUAGAAGAAGACUCUUCCAGAUUCCAGCAGCUUUUGUUUAAAGCAAGGCCUGUCUUAUUUACACUUAACUUCCAAGUUCAAAUCUGACACAGAUGGCUGUGCUUUGCUUUUGACUUUUGGUUUAUGGAAAUUAUAGAUGAAAUUUAAUUUUCUAAUCUUGCACUUCAGAGCAGCUGAUACAUCUCAGCCAACAUGUGUGCAACACAUCAGGAAGGAGGCACCGUUUCUAUCGUAAUGUAUUUGGCUGUGGGGCGUUAAUGUCUGUGUCUCGUUAGUGGCAGCUGUUGAUUUUAAGAAAACUACUUAUGCAGAUAAGCUGUGACAGAGGGAGUGCAUCCAAGUUUUUAAUGAGACAUCGAGACUCAUUAAAAAAUCUACGUUGAGACUUUAAUCUCCAGGAAAAGUAGUGAUAGAACAGUUUAAGAAACGCCCCCUGCACAUGAUCACAAUACUAAUUUUUUAGGAAAUCAAAGCCAUAUAUACAAUUUAAUUCCACUUCUGUUUAAAAAAAUCUAUACAAAAUGCAAUUAAACGAGACUAGAAGAAUAUACAAACCAGCAUAUUCUCGGUGAUUACCUUUCUCUUGAAGGCAAUAUUUUACGUGAUUUUUAUUUUAUUUGACUUUUUUACUUUCCUGUCUUUUCAAUGUUCUCUGUGUCAAGCGUACGUAACUAGUUUACAGGAGAAAAAAAUACAAUAGAUGUUUAAGGGUCAAGAAAAAAAGAAAAAGAAAUGAAUAUGCACCUACCUGCUGCAACUGGACCAUGUCUGGUGAUGGAAGGUCUGGAGCUUCGUUGCUCGCUUCGUGAGUGAAGAGCAAGAUUUCCUCCUCCCCAGGGAAGGCCUUGAUGAGCGGAAGCUGCGUGAGGAAAGGGAAGCAGUCUGCAGGCAAGCCCUCUCGCCACACAGCACCGUGAGGGCAGGACGCAUACUCGAGAGUGAUGUCCCGCACGGAGCAGAUGCUCAGAGUGUCCUGGAAUGGCAGCCGUGUCCCGGUUCUCUACAAUGUGGUAGAGCAGACGUCUGUGGAUGUACAGAAGGUCACUCAAAGGAGAGAGGCAGCAGUCAGCCGGCCCAGCAGGCUCCAGCUUGGCUGUCCGUCAGAAUCUGCCCGAAGCCUUUUACAGUGCAGAUUUCUGGGUGUCGCUCACGGAGAUUUGGGCUCAGUGUGUGUUUAAAGCACUGCAUGCGGGUGACUCCCUCCCCUGGUUUGUGGGAUCUGGUUGAGGACCAACUCUUGCCUUUUACAAACAGGGGAACUGAGUCGAUGGGACUGACUGACUAUUUUCUCUGUGUUAUGCUGGGCAUUUUACGUGAGUUGGCCUUUUCCAAGCGUCUUCCUUCAGGAUUGCCUUGGUGACCCCCAUUUUAAAGCUGCGUUCAGAACACGCGGGAUUCUUUUAGGGGCCCUCAAGGUGACAGCACACUUUUGGGAAGAGAAAAG